rnacentral:rRNA from 5 species
UUUAAGGUCUAACCUGCCCAAUGAGGAUUUAAAUGGCCGCAGUAUUUUGACUGUGCAAAGGUAGCAUAAUUAUUAGUUUUUUAAUUGAAAGCUUGUAUGAAGGGUUGGACGAGAUGAAAUCUGUCUUUAUUUAAAUUAAAAUAUAAUUUAACUUUUAAGUAAAAAGGCUUAAAUGUUUAUAAAAGACGAGAAGACCCUAUAGAUCUUUAUUUAAUUAAAAUUUUAAUAAUUUAGGAUUAUUUUAAUUUAAAGUUUUAAUUAAAUUUUAUUGGGGUAAUAUAAAGAUUAAAUAAAUUCUUUUUAUUUAUAACAUUGAUUUAUGAAUAUAUGAUCCAUUAAUAUUGAUUAUAAGAUUAAGUUACCUUAGGGAUAACAGCGUAAUUUUUUUGGAGAGCUCAUAUCGAUAAAAAAGUUUGCGACCUCGAUGUUGGAUUAAAAAUUAGCUUGGGUGCAGAAGCUCAAGAUUUUGGUCUGUUCGACCAUUAAAUUUUUACAUGAUCUGAGUUCAGACCGGCGUGAGCCAGGUCGGUUUCUAUCUUUAUUAAGAUAAAAUGUUUUAGUACGAAAGGACCAAAUAUUUAAUAUAAUUAUAUUUAUUUUUUGAAGAAUAUU